rnacentral:rRNA from 1 species
AACAAACGCUGGCGGCGUGCCUAAUACAUGCAAGUCGAACGGGGAAAGCUUUCGGGUGAGUACUAGUGGCGCACGGGUGAGUAACGCGUGGCUAAUCUGCCUUAGAGUGGGGGAUAACUAGUCGAAAGAUUAGCUAAUACCGCAUAAGACCACAAGAACUGCGGUUCAAGGGGUCAAAGGUUUUUCGCUCUAAGAUGAGUCCGCGUAAGAUUAGCUAGUUGGUAGGGGAACGGCCUACCAAGGCGACGAUCUUUAACUGGUCUGAGAGGAUGAUCAGUCACACUGGAACUGAGACACGGUCAAGACUCCUACGGGAGGCAGCAGUAGGGAAUAUUGCACAAUGGAGGAAACUCUGAUGCAGCGACGCCGCGUGAGUGAUGAAGGCCUUCGGGUCGUAAAGCUCUGUCGCAGGGGAAUAACACAAUGAAGGUACCCUGUAAGAAAGGAUCGGCUAACUUCGUGCCAGCAGCCGCGGUAACAC